ACGAAGGGGGCUAGCGUUGUUCGGAAUUACUGGGCGUAAAGCGCGCGCAGGCGGUUCUCCAAGUCAGUGGUGAAAGCCCGGAGCUCAACUCCGGAACUGCCAUUGAAACUGUUGAACUUGAGGACGAGAGAGGUGAGUGGAAUUCCCAGUGUAGAGGUGAAAUUCGUAGAUAUUGGGAAGAACACCAGUGGCGAAGGCGGCUCACUGGCUCGUAUCUGACGCUCAGGCGCGAUAGCGUGGGGAUCAAACAGGA
rnacentral:rRNA from 1 species